rnacentral:rRNA from 1 species
GGCGCGCGAUACAGGGUGACAGCCCCGUACACAAAAAUGCACAUAUUGUGAGCUCGAUGAGUAGGGCGGGACACGUGGUAUCCUGUCUGAAUAUGGGGGGACCAUCCUCCAAGGCUAAAUACUCCUGACUGACCGAUAGUGAACCAGUACCGUGAGGGAAAGGCGAAAAGAACCCCGGCGAGGGGAGUGAAAAAGAACCUGAAACCGUGUACGUACAAGCAGUGGGAGCCUCUUAAUGGGGUGACUGCGUACCUUUUGUAUAAUGGGUCAGCGACUUAUAUUCUGUAGCAAGGUUAACCGAAUAGGGGAGCCGAAGGGAAACCGAGUCUUAACUGGGCGUUAAGUUGCAGGGUAUAGACCCGAAACCCGGUGAUCUAGCCAUGGGCAGGUUGAAGGUUGGGUAACACUAACUGGAGGACCGAACCGACUAAUGUUGAAAAAUUAGCGGAUGACUUGUGGCUGGGGGUGAAAGGCCAAUCAAACCGGGAGAUAGCUGGUUCUCCCCGAAAGCUAUUUAGGUAGCGCCUCGUGAAUUCAUCUCCGGGGGUAGAGCACUGUUUCGGCAAGGGGGUCAUCCCGACUUACCAACCCGAUGCAAACUGCGAAUACCGGAGAAUGUUAUCACGGGAGACACACGGCGGGUGCUAACGUCCGUCGUGAAGAGGGAAACAACCCAGACCGCCAGCUAAGGUCCCAAAGUCAUGGUUAAGUGGGAAACGAUGUGGGAAGGCCCAGACAGCCAGGAUGUUGGCUUAGAAGCAGCCAUCAUUUAAAGAAAGCGUAAUAGCUCACUGGUCGAGUCGGCCUGCGCGGAAGAUGUAACGGGGCUAAACCAUGCACCGAAGCUGCGGCAGCGACACUAAGUGUUGUUGGGUAGGGGAGCGUUCUGUAAGCCUGUGAAGGUGUACUGUGAGGUAUGCUGGAGGUAUCAGAAGUGCGAAUGCUGACAUAAGUAACGAUAAAGCGGGUGAAAAGCCCGCUCGCCGGAAGACCAAGGGUUCCUGUCCAACGUUAAUCGGGGCAGGGUGAGUCGACCCCUAAGGCGAGGCCGAAAGGCGUAGUCGAUGGGAAACAGGUUAAUAUUCCUGUACUUGGUGUUACUGCGAAGGGGGGACGGAGAAGGCUAUGUUGGCCGGGCGACGGUUGUCCCGGUUUAAGCGUGUAGGCUGGUUUUCCAGGCAAAUCCGGAAAAUCAAGGCUGAGGCGUGAUGACGAGGCACUACGGUGCUGAAGCAACAAAUGCCCUGCUUCCAGGAAAAGCCUCUAAGCAUCAGGUAACAUCAAAUCGUACCCCAAACCGACACAGGUGGUCAGGUAGAGAAUACCAAGGCGCUUGAGAGAACUCGGGUGAAGGAACUAGGCAAAAUGGUGCCGUAAC